rnacentral:rRNA from 1 species
GCAGUCGACGAACUUCUUUAUCACCGAGUGCUUGCACUCACCGAUAAAGAGUUGAGUGGCGAACGGGUGAGUAACACGUGGGCAACCUGCCCAAAAGAGGGGGAUGACACUUGGAAACAGGUGCUAAUACCGCAUAACCAUAGUUACCGCAUGGUAACUAUGUAAAAGGUGGCUAUGCUACCGCUUUUGGAUGGGCCCGCGGCGCAUUAGCUAGUUGGUGGGGUAAAGGCUUACCAAGGCAAUGAUGCGUAGCCGAACUGAGAGGUUGAUCGGCCACAUUGGGACUGAGACACGGCCCAAACUCCUACGGGAGGCAGCAGUAGGGAAUCUUCCACAAUGGGCGAAAGCCUGAUGGAGCAACGCCGCGUGGGUGAAGAAGGUCUUCGGAUCGUAAAACCCUGUUGUUAGAGAAGAAAGUGCGUGAGAGUAACUGUUCACGUUUCGACGGUAUCUAACCAGAAAGCCACGGCUAACUACGUGCCAGCAGCCGCGGUAAUACGUAGGUGGCAAGCGUUAUCCGGAUUUAUUGGGCGUAAAGGGAACGCAGGCGGUCUUUUAAGUCUGAUGUGAAAGCCAUCGGCUUAACCGGAGUAGUGCAUUGGAAACUGGGAGACUUGAGUGCAGAAGAGGAGAGUGGAACUCCAUGUGUAGCGGUGGAAUGCGUAGAUAUAUGGAAGAACACCAGUGGCGAAAGCGGCUCUCUGGUCUGUAACUGACGCUGAAGUUCGAAAGCGUGGGUAGCAAACA